rnacentral:rRNA from 1 species
UACGUAGGGAGCGAGCGUUAUCCGGAUUUAUUGGGUGUAAAGGGUGCGUAGAUGGAUAAACAAGUUGGUUGUGAAAUCCCUCGGCUUAACUGAGGAAUUGCAACCAAAACUGUAUAUCUUGAGUACUGGAGGGGAAAGCGGAAUUCCUAGUGUAGCGGUGAAAUGCGUAGAUAUUAGGAAGAACACCGGUGGCGAAGGCGGCUUUCUGGACAGAAACUGACAUUGAGGCACGAAAGUGUGGGGAGCAA